GAUGAAGAACGUAGCGAAAUGCGAUAAGUAAUGUGAAUUGCAGAAUUCAGUGAAUCAUCGAAUCUUUGAACGCACAUUGCGCCCGCCAGUAUUCUGGCGGGCAUGCCUGUCCGAGCGUCAUUUCAACCAUCAAGCCCCGGGCUUGUGUUGGGGACCUGCGUCCGACGCAGGCCCUGAAAACCAGUGGCGGGCUCGCUGUCCACACCGAGCGUAGUAACUAACCUCGCUAUGGAGUAGCGCGGGCGCCUGCCGUAAAACCCCCAAUUUCACAAGGUUGACCUCGGAUCAGGUAGGAAUACCCGCUGAACUUAAGCAUAUCAAUAAGCGGAGGA
rnacentral:misc_RNA from 1 species